rnacentral:tRNA from 1 species
GGGAAUGUGGCUCAGUGGUAGAGUGCUCGCCUAACAUGCAUGAAGCCCUGGGUUCGAUUCCUCAGUACCA